GCCUGCCUAGGCCUCCCAAAGUGCUGGGAUUACAGGUGUGAGCCACCGAAGAGAACACUUUUUAAAUGUUAUUUCGGUGCCAGUACUUGCUUCAAUUAAGCGCUCAUUAGUUAAAAAGAAUGCUAGCCUCCAUCUGAGCCCCACCAAGGCCUCACUGUCCUUCCUGGCGGGAGAAGCCAGCGGAUAUGCCCUUGAGCUGAGGGCUGUCGAGGAUGUGGUGGUCCAGGGCAUCCCUGGACUCACUGUCUGACAGGCAGGGACAGCCCCUGCAGAGGAAGAGGCUGAACACUGGACAGGGGUGCCUGCCACUCCACAGGGCCUGUCCAGUGCCUAUCCUGGUGGGUGAGUAGCAGGCUCGCUGCCUACUCCGGGCCCACCACCACCACCAGGGCUGUGCUGCAGGUUGCAAAAGGCCCAGCGGCGCCCGAGCCACUCCUUAUCUGGUGAGGAAGAUGCCCAGACACAGGGCAGCUCUCAGCACGGGAAAGGAAAAGCCUGACCUUUGGGCCACAUCACAGACACCUGGUUGAUUUAAUAAGACUGAAUCGUGGCCGGGCAUAGUGGCUUAAGCCUGUAAUCCCAACACUUUGGGAGGCCAAGGCAGGCUGGUCUUGAACUCCUGACCUCAGGUGAUCUGCCUGCCUCGGCCUCCCAAAGUGCUGGGAUUACAG
rnacentral:lncRNA from 10 species